AAACACCUCUUCAUCUCCUUCUGCAGGAUUUAAUUCACGCGUCUUCACCUCUUCAGCUUCUCUUUGCGGAGUCAGAGUCUCAGAGGAGUGUGUGGCGUAGUGUAUCGGCUGUUUUUACGUGGAGCCCGUUUGUUUUCUGUACUCUUUGCGACGGCUGUUUUUGGAGAUCUCCGGUACCUACGAUUUCGACCUGGAUGGACCCAACAUUGAACGCUACCUCCCUUCCAAAAUCUCUGCCCACGAACUGUAGGCUGAGAUUCACCUGUGUUCUCUCUCUUUCUAUAACUCUUUGCUUUGCUAUUUUUCCUUAAAUUUCUUGGAUAGCGAAUUGCAUUUAAUAGUAGUGAAGAUAUCGUUUUUGAUUCGAAGGUUUGAUUUGCUCAACAUUUCUCCUACCUUUACUGAGUCUGCAAGAGCAGGAGCCAUUAUUGAUGUAUGUGUCCUCUCCAUUAUCGACGUUCAAAAUUCACUUUCGUAAAUAUGCAGUUAUUUUCUCCUUAAAUUUCUUUGUGUCAGAUUCAUGUAUGCAGUUAUUCAGGUCGUCCUUGGUUUCCGUGAAUGUAUCGUGCCAACGUUUUUGCUUAUAUACGACUUAUGUACAUAUGGGUUCCUGACUCUCUUUUCUUGCUCUGGUGCAAUUUGAUUUUGGGCAAGAAAUUUCAAUGUUUUGGUGGUUGAUAAAUCUUUGGUUGCACACAUCGGCACAAAGCAAGUUUUUGAAAUAUAUCAAAAACCGGUUGAAAAGCAUACAAGGUUGCACUAACUACGCUAAAUUGGUGACCCAGAUCUGAGAGGAAAAGAUCCUCACUUGGAUUCAAAUGAUUUAAAUGGAAGAUCAGAUGACAUACGGUUCAGCUCCUUAGAUAUUGUAAAUGAUAAAUUAUUUUUGAAGCUUUGACAAAUUUGUCACGGACGAGCCUUGGGUAGUAAGCAGAAAUGGAACCCUUAUGGUUAUUCAUUUUGUCAAAUACCAGUUACUGAAACCAAUAGGUUUAAAGUCAGAUUGAUGCUCAUGCUGAUGGUGUGAAUGGCUUGGCAUUCUCUUCCCAGGAGAGGCAACUUCUGGUCAUAACCUGUGGUGAUUGAAAACAAGAGAGCAAGCUGAAGUUUUUGGGGUUUAUGUGGAACCCUCUAUCUUGGGUCAUGGAAGCUGCAGCUAUCUUCGCCAUUGCGCCUGCCAAUGUAGGAGUUAGUAUUUUUUUUACUUAAUGACAGUUUUUGGAGUACAAUCAUUACCAGUUGGCCCCCUUUUCUUUUAAUUUUUUCCCCUGUUUAAACAUUGUUAUUUUAUGGACGGUGCUGCAUUUGUUUACUAUUGGAGAAAACCGAUUCAUUUUUUAAAAAGCAAAUGUGAAGCUAUUGAAUUUUCAAGUACUGUGAGGGUUGGCAAUUUUGAUGAUCCCACUAA